rnacentral:lncRNA from 1 species
GUGCCUCAGUUUCUUUCCCUGGAUGGUGAAGGGUUAGAACUGUCCUCAAACAGAUCCCUCUGAGGAUGACGGCCCUUCAUUCUGAGGGCACAGCUGCCUUCCAAUGCCUUCUCCGCCUCCUCCUCCGUUGCCCCUGAAUGGCUUACAUCUCCAUCCCGCCGUGUGGCACCAGCACACAGCGAGUGCUCAGGAAACCUAGCCUGACUCUCCGGUAGAAUUCCAGCACUCUGAUAAUGAAAGGUCUUAGCAAUCACGUCUGUCCCCUGUUAGAGAGGCAGCCCAGUGGUGGUGACGGAGAAAUGUCAAGAGUCCAGCCCAUUAUCCCAGAGCAGGUACUGGAGGGUGAAUUUGGACCCAACAAAUUGAUAACUGGCACACUGGGACAAAACUGUGGCAUUUAUCUGCAAGAUAGAAUUGUAGGACGUAAUUAAAAAUUAUGUCUUAGAAGACUAUUUAAUGCCUUGAGAAAAUCUUCAUGAUAUAUUAAGUGAAAAAGUGAAUUACAAAAGCAAUCAGUACAGUGUAAUCCUCAUUUUAUAAAACAGAGCAAAGCUCUUCAGUUAAAAAAAACCGAAAAGAUUCCUAAAUGUCUUCCCUUCCUCCCACUGCCUGUCAACCUACCUCCCACCCUCUCCCUUAUUUGGUUAGAGAGAGAAUGUGAGAAAAAGGUCGGGCAGGGAGAGUCACCUCGUGUAUUAUGGAGCCGAUGAUUUUAAUUCCUUUCCUGUCAUCUGCCUCACCCCUUACCCAGGAGGAGUUGGGGGAGCGUGAAGGGAAAUUAUUAUUUCGUCACGUAGAAUCAUAACCAGCAGACCCCGAUCUGCCCCUUCCCCUCUCCUCUUUGCUCUCAAAACUCCCCCAGCGAACCUGGAUUGGCCUCUCCUCAGGCCCGGCAGAACUCGAAAGGAUUUGUACAUGGGCCUCAGGAGAGGGCGUAAGAAAAUAUGACGCCCUUUGUUAUGCAGAUCAGCACGCCUGUGUUCUCAGACAAAAAAGGGGCCGUGGUCCACAGCGCUGGGUAGACCAGGUGUAAGGGGUUUCUUUGCUGCCGCUGGGCUUCUCGGGGUCUCUGUGAUCCCUGGGAAUCUCUAUAUGGUCCCCAGCAUGUCCCAGUUUUUAAUUCGCGUGUGUGUGUAUUGUGGAACACAAUUUGGAAAGUGCUGCUAUAGAAAAAUACGAAAGGUGUCUACAAACAUUUUUAAAACUUUAAAUAUUAAAAUGCCCUUGAUCUCAUUACAUCUUUUCUAGUACUGGUGAUUGACUUCUGUUACACACACAAGUGUUUCUCAUAAAAAUAUCACUGUGUGUGUGUAUAUGUAUAUAUAUAUAUACAUAUACAUAUACACA